rnacentral:rRNA from 1 species
AUACCAGCACCCCGAGUGGUCGGGACGAUUAUUGGGCCUAAAGCAUCCGUAGCCGGUACUGCAAGUCUUCCGUUAAAUCCACCUGCUUAACAGUUGGGCUGCGGGGGAUACUACAGCGCUAGGAGGCGGGAGAGGCAAGCGGUACUCAAUGGGUAGGGGUAAAAUCCGCUGAUCAAUUGAAGACCACCAGUGGCGAAGGCGGCUUGCCGGAACGCGCUCGACGGUGAGGGAUGAAAGCUGGGGGAGCAAACCGGAUUAGAUACCCGGGUAGUCCCAGCUGUAAACGAUGCAGACUCGGUGAUGGGCUGGCCUUGUGCCAGCCCAGUGCCGCAGGGAAGCCGUUAAGUUUGCCGCCUGGGAAGUACGGUCGCAAGACUGAAACUUAAAUGAAUUGGCGGGG